UACGGGGGGGGAGCAAGCGUUGUCCGGAUUUACUGGGCGUAAAGAGCGCGCAGGCGGUCGUUCAAGUCGCGUGUGAAAGCCCCCCGGCUCAACUGGGGAGGGUCACGCGAUACUGAUCGACUCGAAGGCAGGAGAGGGUAGUGGAAUUCCCGGUGUAGUGGUGAAAUGCGUAGAUAUCGGGAGGAACACCAGUGGCGAAGGCGACUACCUGGCCUGUUCUUGACGCUGAGGCGCGAAAGCUAGGGGAGCAAACGGGG
rnacentral:rRNA from 1 species